CUAAUGCGCCAUCUUUUGUUUCCAACUCUUGUAAUAUCUUGAAUAUCAAGAAAACGAGAUGUCCCUCUUCGGAAUUUGUUUUAUUUUGUAAAAUCUAAUUAUAAAGCUGUUGCGCAGUUCAAAUUAUCACUUACAGACGUGAUAGUUGGUUAUGAAGUUUACCUUCGUGGAAUGUUUGUCUGAAGUCUAAGAACUGUCAACAACAACAACGAGCAUCUUUCGUGUUCAAGAAGCAUAGCGUGAAUAAAAACACGAACAAUAUUUAUCGUUGACUUUCGUCUUCAAUAAAAAACGGAACUAAUGUGAUGACAUAUUAAGCAGAAUUUUGAACAUUAAGACGACAGUGUCUCAUAGAGAAAAUUGGAUAAAUCAAGAGUUUAAAAACAAAACUCAAUGGCGGAUGAUCGAUAUAAAUGCUUAGUCGUUGAAAACCAUUCCAAUGUUAAAAUCACUGUAAACUAUUACAAAAGUUGGUCUCCUUUUUGCAAGUUACCGACUUCUUCAAAAACACUCCAACCAACAGAGAAUCAUUGCUAUCGUCAUAAGGAAUCAUACAAGUUUGAAAUUUUUGCGCAUAUAGACAAUA